rnacentral:snRNA from 1 species
AAGCCGGGUUACGGUGCCCAA